CAGGUUAAUUUUUUAGUUAAAAGUUUCAUUUACGUUGAUAAUUAUACUGUUAGAUUCGGUAUAACUUGA
rnacentral:tRNA from 1 species